rnacentral:rRNA from 1 species
UAACCUACGGGGGGCAGCAGUGAGGAAUAUUGGUCAAUGGGCGCGAGCCUGAACCAGCCAAGUCGCGUGAGGGAUGACGGCCCUACGGGUUGUAAACCUCUUUUGCCGGGGAGCAACGGACGCCACGUGUGGCGCCACUGAGAGUACCCGGAGAAAAAGCAUCGGCUAACUCCGUGCCAGCAGCCGCGGUAAUACGGAGGAUGCGAGCGUUAUCCGGAUUUAUUGGGUUUAAAGGGUGCGGAGGCGGAUCGUUAAGUCAGUGGUCAAAUUGGGGGGCCAAACCCCUUC